rnacentral:rRNA from 1 species
GAUGAACGCUAGCGGCAGGCUUAACACAUGCAAGUCGAGGGGCAGCGCGAUGUAGCAAUACAUUGGCGGCGACCGGCGCACGGGUGCGUAACACGUAUGGAACUUACCCUUUACUGGGAGAUAGCCCGGAGAAAUCCGGAUUAAUAUCCCAUAAUAAACGAAGUGGCAUCACUUUGUCUUGAAAGCUCCGGCGGUAAAGGAUGGCCAUGCGCACGAUUAGCUAGUAGGUGAGGUAACGGCUCACCUAGGCUACGAUCGUUAGGGGGCCUGAGAGGGUUAUCCCCCANACUGGUACUGAGACACGGACCAGACUCCUACGGGAGGCAGCAGUGAGGAAUAUUGCGCAAUGGAGGCAAACUCUGACGCAGCCAUG